UACAUGGGGUGAUGUUCUACCUUUUGCAGCUAUGAUAAUGAUGGAAAUCACAGAUGUAGGUGCAGCAACUAUAAGCAAAGCAGCCAUGUCAAAAGGGAUGAGUGGUUAUGUUUUUGUCGUUUACUCUAGCGCACUUGGUACCAUCUUUCUCCUUCCUUGUUUCAUAUUACAGUAAGCAACAUAUAAAAUUCUGAUAGCCUCUGUGGAAAUCAUUUAAAUGGAUUACUGCUUCAUGUACUAAUGAAACUAGUUCCUCUGCAGAAAGAAGGAGUUCAAGUUUGUUGUUAGCAUAUAAUGGGAUCAACUACAGCUCACCAACACUAGCUUCAGCUAUAGGGAAUCUUAUACCAGUCUUUACAUUCAUGCUGGCAAUCAUUUUCAGGAUGGAAAAGCUAGAUUUGAGAAGAUCAAGCAGUCGAGCCAAAGUGUUAGGGACUAUAGUAUCAGUAUCUGGAGCAUUUAUAGUAAUUUUAUACAAGGGAUCAGUAAUCUUUUCACCAUCCAACUCUCCUCACAAAAACUUCACGAUAACCUCACAGCAAACAAAGUGGAUCUUAGGAGGUCUUAUGCUUGCAGUGGCAUGCCUUUUGGCAGCAAUAUGGAACAUUCUUCAGGUAUUUGACGAUCCACAAAUAU